rnacentral:rRNA from 1 species
ACGAACGCUGGCGGCAUGCCUAACACAUGCAAGUCGAACGAAGCCUUCGGGCUUAGUGGCGCACGGGUGCGUAACGCGUGGGAACCUGCCUUUAGGUUCGGAAUAACUCUCCGAAAGGGGUGCUAAUACCGAAUAAUGUCUUCGGACCAAAGAUUUAUCGCCUUUAGAUGGGCCCGCGUUGGAUUAGCUAGUUGGUGGGGUAAAGGCCUACCAAGGCGACGAUCCAUAGCUGGUCUGAGAGGAUGAUCAGCCACACUGGGACUGAGACACGGCCCAGACUCCUACGGGAGGCAGCAGUGGGGAAUAUUGGACAAUGGGCGAAAGCCUGAUCCAGCAAUGCCGCGUGAGUGAUGAAGGCCUUAGGGUUGUAAAGCUCUUUUACCCGGGAUGAUAAUGACAGUACCGGGAGAAUAAGCCCCGGCUAACUCCGU